rnacentral:rRNA from 1 species
UACGGAGGGGGCUAGCGUUGUUCGGAAUUACUGGGCGUAAAGCGCACGUAGGCGGCUUUGCAAGUUAGAGGUGAAAGCCCGGGGCUCAACUCCGGAAUUGCCUUUAAAACUGCAUCGCUGGAAUUGUGGAGAGGUAAGUGGAAUUCCGAGUGUAGAGGUGAAAUUCGUAGAUAUUCGGAAGAACACCAGUGGCGAAGGCGACUUACUGGACACAUAUUGACGCUGAGGUGCGAAAGCGUGGGGAGCAAACAGGG